rnacentral:rRNA from 1 species
UACGAAGGGGGCUAGCGUUGCUCGGAAUUACUGGGCGUAAAGGGCGCGUAGGCGGCACUGUUAGUCAGGCGUGAAAUUCCUGGGCUCAACCUGGGGACUGCGCUUGAUACGGCAGAGCUUGAGGAUGGAAGAGGGUCGCGGAAUUCCCAGUGUAGAGGUGAAAUUCGUAGAUAUUGGGAAGAACACCGGUGGCGAAGGCGGCGACCUGGUCCAUUACUGACGCUGAGGCACGAAAGCGUGGGGAGCAAACAGG